rnacentral:rRNA from 1 species
GUUAGUUUUUUAAUUGAAAUCUUGUAUGAAUGGUUUGACAAAAAAAGACUGUCUCUAUAUUAUAAAUUGAAUUUAACUUUUAAGUGAAAAGGCUUAAAUAAAUUAAAAAGACGAUAAGACCCUAUAAAGCAUUUUAUUGGGGUGAUAAUGGUAAAAUGAUUAACUGUUUAUAAGAUUUAAACAAAUUUAGAUGGAAUGAUCCUAUUUAGAGAUUAAAAGUUUAAGUUACUUUAGGGAUAACAGCGUUAUUUUUUUUGAAAGCUCAUAUUGAGAAAAAAGUUUGCGACCUCGAUGUUGAAUUAAAAUUUCUAUAUAAUUGUAGCAGUUAUAUAAGAAGGUCUGUUCGACCUUUAAAUUUUU